rnacentral:misc_RNA from 1 species
AUCUGAAUUCAAGGUUGGAGUUCAGCACUACCUUGAAUCCAUUCAAGAGAUGGUACCAGACAUUGAAUGGGGAAAGAAUAUUCGUGUAGUAUUGGACAUUGGAUGUACAGAUUCAAGCUUUGGAGCUUCACUCCUUGAUAAAGACGUGUUGACAUUGUCACUUGGCUUGAAGGAUGACCUAGUUGAUCUAGCCCAAGUUGCUCUAGAGCGGGGUUUUCCUGCAAUAGUUAGCCC